UACGUAGGGUGCGAGCGUUGUCCGGAAUUAUUGGGCGUAAAGGGCUCGUAGGCGGUUUGUCGCGUCGGGAGUGAAAACUCACAGCUUAACUGUGGGCGUGCUUUCGAUACGGGCAGACUAGAGGCAUGCAGGGGAGAACGGAAUUCCUGGUGUAGCGGUGAAAUGCGCAGAUAUCAGGAAGAACACCCGUGGCUAAGGCGGCUCUCUAGUACGGUACUGACGCUGAGACGCGAAAGCGUGGGGAGCAAACGGG
rnacentral:rRNA from 1 species